UUGGUCCUUCAUUUAAAUUUAAUAACGAAAUAACUUAAUUAAAUUUAAAAAAAAAACAAAUUAAAAUCGAAUAAAAAAUAAUAGAUAAUUCUAAAUAACUCUUCCAAUUAUUUUGGCAAAAAAAAUGAAAACAUUCAAACAAAAAUUGAAUAAAUAAAUAAAAAAUCGGGCGCAAAAUUGCCCCAAUAAAUAAAUAAAUAAAAUGAACGUAUUAAAAUGACCAAUACAAAAUAAACAUCUCAGAAACAUACAGGUUUCGAUCAAACUUUGAAAAUAAAAUAAAUAAAAAAGACUGGUUGAAAGGCUCGGACA
rnacentral:lncRNA from 1 species